AAUCACAAAUCAACACAGAAUAAUUAUUCCGGAAAUUGAAAAGUUUUAACUUUUGGCUUCAACCCAUCUUUGUUAGUCGACCCCUAAUGCGUUCACGUGAUUGCGCAACAUACUAUAUCCUUCUCCACUCAGCGCUUCAGAGCCUCAGAGAGAGAGAGAGAGAGAGAGAGAUGGAACCCCCACCAUCACAAGCCAUUGAGACUUCUGGCAAGGACCUUGAGUUCCAGGUUGAACAGGAUGAACAAGACAAGGCCAUCGAUAGUUGCUGUUCUUGCUGCUACGACUGCUCAGAGAGCUGUUUCUUCGAUUAUUUGUUCUGUAACCUCUGUUGAGGGAGUCUUAAAAUUUACUCCAGCCAUUAAAAAUAUCGAAAUGGAUCUUCUUGACAUCAUUAAUCAGGGUGUUGAAACUGCUGUUUGUUAUCUAUAUUGAUGAGUGAAUCAUGGUAAUUUGCUAUAUUAAUUGAUUGCCUUGCUUGUAGACUGUA